UGUACCUGUUGUUGACACAGGUGUGAUGGGAAGAGCCAGUGUGACGUCCCAGUGUUCAACUCUCUGUAUGGAGAUCCCUGUGUAGGAACCUACAAGUACCUGGAUGUGGCUUACACCUGUGGCUAAAUGUGAGGCACGCACGCAUACGGAGAUCUUCUCCGAGGAACAAAGACCAGAGAGACUUCUUGGAUAUCUCCUCUUCAUUGGGUGGAUUUGUCUUUCUUUCCUGUCUUCUCUCCUCUGAAGUCUCAAUUGAGUGUAAAAUCUAUGUAAAUUGCAUAUUUCCAUGUCAAGUUCAAAAUGUGUAAAUCCCAUUGAUUGUGUAUUUCGUCAGGCAUAAUUUGUGUGUAGUAAAAACAUAAUGAGGCCCCUCUUGUGCUGCAGCAAGGCACGGUCAGGAGGAAGCAUGGAGAAAUAAAACAUUAACCCCAAAAAUAAACUAUUCUUCAAAUAACACUGUGACAUAAUACUUUGUGCAUUUUGUUUACUAAAGUAUUUCUUCAAAACAAUGUUGAUUUUCUGAACUGUGGUGGUUGGUCUGAUUUGAACUAAGAACUGUGGUGGUUGGUCUGAAUUGAACUAAGAACUGUGGUGGUUGGUCUGAAUUGAACUAAGAACUGUGGUGGUUGGUCUGAUUUGAACUAAGAACUGUGGUGGUUGGUCUAAUUUGAACUAAGAACUGUGGUGGUUGGUCUGAUUUAACUAAGAACUGUGGUGGUUGGUCUGAAUUAAACUAAGCAGCAUAAA